UCCUAUUUAAUGAGGGUGCCACAACCUGUUUUAAUGUGCCAUGUUUGGCUGAGAAUGGGCAUGAAAAUGAGAGGAAAUAAUGAAAAAAAUCUGAAAAAAAGAUAAGAAAAAAAAGAGAAAAAUAGAAAGGAAGGGAGAAGAGAAAAAUGAUAGUACGAGAUACUUGUCCUAAGAUUAGAUUGUUCAUGUGUUAAAUAUAAAAUUUGAUUAGAGUGUGGUUUGAUACUUUGGAAAAGGGUUCCUAGAGUAGUCUUAGUGGAGGUCACGAAGGCAUACAAGCAAUGAUGUAUCAAGUUCUUACGAAGGACUAUCGGCAGCGCACUUAGGAAGAAGGCUGCAGCAUCAUGACGAGUUGGGAAGGAUCCUGAUUAAUUCUGUGUGGAUCACCGUUGGAGAGCUUUUUUUUUGGAGUCUCGUGGAUAUCUCAAAAUCAUCGGUUCAUGAUCUUCAUGGUGAAUCUAACAGAAACCAUGACUGAUGGUGGUCGGCAAAGCAAGGAAGAAAGCCAAAACAGGAGAUCUGAUUUCAAACAUGGGUUCCGACGAGCUGCCGGCUUAAAUCAAGUUUGGUUGACGGUCAUGGGGUCAGGAGGAGGAGGAGAAUAAGAGUUUAGAUCCUUACCUAAUUCUGGUGAAGCCAAGAAGAUGAUCCAGCCUAUUUCUCGUGAAAUUCGAGGGAACAACUCGAUCAGAAUUUUGAAAAUCAGUGGCAGCUUCUUGAGGAACUUUGUGAUGAAAUUCAAGGGAGGAGAAGAGUCCUUUUUAUAGAGGGGUCUUUAAGGUUUUUAAUCCCGGUUUGGAAGCCCUAACAUUUUCUUUUCUCAGUCGGAAUCGGAGAAGAGGUCGGGUGCAUAGUUGGUGAGGUUUCUAUUUUUUUGUUUUUCCGAUUGCUUUAAAAUUCAUGUGAAAAAAAUUCAAAAGGGAGUUUAUCCGAGAUGGCGCGUUUGGAUUUUAUCCUCCCAGUCUAAAACUGCGGGCUUUCAGUAGUCCCAGCAAAGGGAGUCAUCGGGAGCAGCUUGUGCUUUGUUCCGACUCCCAAAGUUUUUGAAAUGAGAUGAGGAAGUAAGAGACUUCCACCGUAGUUAUAUUAUAUAGUAUAAUAGAUGAUUAUAGAAAACAACAGGCUCCGGGAUGCAGGCGAUGCCCUUGUUGGUACAAGGGAUGCCUUAAUCUGGGACCAUGAUUAUCAACUCGUACAAUGUUGAACUGAUAAUUGGAAACCCCUAUUCGCAAUACAAAGAUUGAGUGCUCCUCUCAAGCAUUUACAUGCAUUGGUUGUGGUAGAGGCUCAGGAGGUGACGUCGGAUUUUGGAAGGCUUGCAUGUGGUGAAGGAGGUCCAUUCAUGGUAUAACCAUGCUAUCCAUUGCCUCCAGAUAUGCCAAAGGUCUUUCCGAAAAAUGCUGAAAAUUUGUGCUAUCAAGGAUUUUGGACCAGAUUUUUCUGACAAAAGCACAGGCCAACAUCAGGUGAUCCAAGCUUUCGGGGUGGCACGAGCAAAGAGGGCAUGAGGGAGGACCUUGAGCGCCUUUUUUUUUUGUAGUAUGUCAGCAGUAAGCACCCUGUUGUGAUAACAAAGCUAGCUAAAGAUUUUAACCUUUUCAGGUAAUGGUGUCUUCCAAAUGAUUUUGCUGAAGAAGGAAGUUAUGCCGCCAUGGAUCAUGAAGAAAGUAGCUUCUCCUAACUGUAAAUGAACCAGAAGGAUGCCAUUUCCGACUCCUAAAGUCAGUAGAUGGAGUCAAGCUUCAGAUUUGCCUAGCUGAACUGGACUUGGGCAUUUAUUUGGGUCAAGAUCAAAAUAAAAUACAUGCUUCAUAUC